GAUGAAGAACGUAGCGAAAUGCGAUAAGUAAUGCGAAUUGCAGAAUUCAGUGAGUCAUCGAAUCUUUGAACGCACAUUGCGCCCCCUGGUAUUCCGGGGGGCAUGCCUGUCCGAGCGUCAUUACAACCCUCAAGCUCAGCUUGGUGUUGGGCCCCGCCGCCCCGGCGGGCCCUAAAGUCAGUGGCGGUGCCGUCCGGCUCCGAGCGUAGUAAUUCUUCUCGCUCUGGAGGUCCGGUCGUGUGCUCGCCAGCAACCCCCAAUUUUUUUCAGGUUGACCUCGGAUCAGGUAGGGAUACCCGCUGAACUUAAGCAUAUCAAUAAGCGGAGGA
rnacentral:misc_RNA from 1 species